rnacentral:rRNA from 1 species
AGAGUUUGAUCAUGGCUCAGGAUGAACGCUAGCGGCAGGCCUAACACAUGCAAGUCGAGGGGUAGGGGCUUUCGGGCCCUGAGACCGGCGCACGGGUGCGUAACGCGUAUGCAAUCUGCCUUACACUGGGGGAUAGCCCAGAGAAAUUUGGAUUAAUACCCCAUAGUAUUUUUUGUUGGCAUCAACAGAUUAUUAAAGUUUUUCGGUGUAAGAUGAGCAUGCGUCCCAUUAGCUAGUUGGUAUGGUAACGGCAUACCAAGGCAAUGAUGGGUAGGGGUCCUGAGAGGGAGAUCCCCCACACUGGUACUGAGACACGGACCAGACUCCUACGGGAGGCAGCAGUGAGGAAUAUUGGUCAAUGGGCGAGAGCCUGAACCAGCCAUGCCGCGUGCAGGAUGAAGCAUCUAUGGUGUGUAAACUGCUUUUGUACGGGAAGGAACCCCUCUACGUGUAGAGGCUUGACGGUACCGUAAGAAUAAGGAUCGGCUAACUCCGUGCCAGCAGCCGCGGUAAUACGGAGGAUCCAAGCGUUAUCCGGAAUCAUUGGGUUUAAAGGGUCCGUAGGCGGCUUUAUAAGUCAGUGGUGAAAUCUGGCGGCUCAACCGUCAAAUUGCCAUUGAUACUGUAGGGCUUGAAUGUUUGUGAAGUAACUAGAAUAUGUAGUGUAGCGGUGAAAUGCUUAGAUAUUACAUGGAAUACCCAUUGCGAAGGCAGGUUACUAACAAAUGAUUGACGCUGAUGGACGAAAGCGUGGGGAGCGAACAGGAUUAGAUACCCUGGUAGUCCACGCCGUAAACGAUGGAUACUAGCUGUUUGGCAGCAAUGCUGAGUGCUAAGCGAAAGUGAUAAGUAUCCCGCCUGGGGAGUACGGGCGCAAGCCUGAAACUCAAAUGAAUUGACGG